CCUACGGGGGGCAGCAGUAGGGAAUAUUGCUCAAUGGUGGAAACCCUGAAGCAGCAACGCCGCGUGGGGGAUGAAGGUUUUCGGAUUGUAAACUCCUUUUGUUAGAGAAGAUAAUGACGGUAUCUAACGAAUAAGCACCGGCUAACUCCGUGCCAGCAGCCGUGGUAAUACGGAGGGUGCAAGCGUUACUCGGAAUCACUGGGCGUAAAGAGCGCGUAGGCGGGAUAGCAAGUCAGAUGUGAAAUCCUAUGGCUUAACCAUAGAACUGCAGUUGAAACUGUUAUUCUAGAGUAUGGGAGAGGUAGGUGGAAUUCUUGGUGUAGGGGUAAAAUCCGUAGAGAUCAAGAGGAAUACUGAUUGCGAAGGCGACCUGCUGGAACAUAACUGACGCUGAUGCGCGAAAGCGUGGGGAGCAAACAGGAUUAGAUACCCGAGUAGUC
rnacentral:rRNA from 1 species